rnacentral:rRNA from 1 species
GGCGAACGCUGGCGGCAAGCUUAACACAUGCAAGUCGAACGCCGUAGCAAUACGGAGUGGCAGACGGGUGAGUAACACGUGGGAACGUGCCUCUCGGUUCGGAACAACUGAGGGAAACUUCAGCUAAAACCGGAUACGCCCUUCGGGGGAAAGUUUACGCCGAAAGAUCGGCCCGCGUCAGAUUAGGUAGUUGGCGGGGUAAUGGCCCACCAAGCCGAUGAUCUGUAGCUGUUCUGAGAGGAAGAUCAGCCACACUGGGACUGAGACACGGCCCAGACUCCUACGGGAGGCAGCAGUGGGGAAUAUUGGACAAUGGGCGCAAGCCUGAUCCAGCUAUGCCGCGUGGAUGAAGAAGGCCUUCGGGUUGUAAAGUCCUUUCGGCGGGGAAGAUAAUGACGGUACCCGCAGAAGAAGCCCCGGCUAAUUUCGUGCCAGCCGCCGCCGUAAUAC